rnacentral:rRNA from 1 species
UACAGAGGGGGCAAGCGUUGUUCGGAAUUACUGGGCGUAAAGGGCGCGUAGGCGGCCUGUUAAGUCGAACGUGAAAUCCCCGGGCUUAACCUGGGAAUGGCCAUGGAAACUGGCGAACUGGAGUGUGGCAGAGGGAGGUGGAAUUCCACGUGUAGCGGUGAAAUGCGUAGAGAUGUGGAGGAACACCGAUGGCGAAGGCAGCCUCCUGGGCCAAUACUGACGCUCAUGCACGAAAGCGUGGGGAGCAAACAGGA